rnacentral:rRNA from 1 species
UGCAAGUCGAACGCGAAAAGGUUUCGAUCUGAGUAGCGUGGCGCACGGGUGAGUAACACGUGAGUAAUCUGCCCCUUAGCCCGGGAUAGCGUGCCGAAAGGCGCGCUAAUACCGGAUGAGACCACAAUUUCUACGGGAAUCGUGAGAAAAGGCGGGGUCCGCAAGGACCUGUCACUAUGGGAUGAGCUCGCGGCCUAUCAGCUAGUUGGCGGGGUAAUGGCCCACCAAGGCGAAGACGGGUAGCUGGUCUGAGAGGACGAUCAGCCACACUGGAACUGAGACACGGUCCAGACUCCUACGGGAGGCAGCAGUGGGGAAUUUUGCGCAAUGGACGAAAGUCUGACGCAGCGACGCCGCGUGUGCGAUGAAGGCCUUUGGGUCGUAAAGCACUGUCGGCUGGGACGAAAACUUAUAUACUAAUACUAUAUAAGCUUGACGGUACCGGCAAAGGAAGCACCGGCUAACUCUGUGCCAGCAGCCGCGGUAAUACAGAGGGUGCAAACGUUGCUCGGAUUUAUUGGGCGUAAAGCGCGUGUAGGCGGCUUGCUAAGUCGGCUGUGAAAGCCCAUGGCUCAACCAUGGAAGUGCAGCCGAAACUGGCAAGCUUGAGUCCCGAAGAGGGUGGCGGAAUGCCCAGUGUAGAGGUGAAAUUCGUAGAUAUUGGGUAGAACACCAGUGGCGAAGGCGGCCACCCGGGAGGCGACUGACGCUGAGACGCGAAAGCGUGGGGAGCAAACAGGAUUAGAUACCCUGGUAGUCCACGCCGUAAACGAUGAGCACUAGGUGUUGCGGGUAUUGACCCCUGCAGUGCCGACGCUAA